rnacentral:rRNA from 1 species
UACGUAGGGGGCAAGCGUUGUCCGGAAUCAUUGGGCGUAAAGCGCGUGUAGGCGGCCUGCUAAGUCUGAUGUGAAAGCCCGAGGCUCACCCUCGGAAGUGCAUUGGAAACUGGCAGACUGGAGUCCCGGAGAGGAGGGUGGAAUUCCUGGUGUAGCGGUGAAAUGCGUAGAUAUCUGGAGGAACACCGGUGGCGAAGGCGGCAUCCUGGACCACGACUGACGCUGAGUGAGCGAAAGCCAGGGGAGCAAACGGG